rnacentral:rRNA from 1 species
GACGAACGCUGGCGGCAUGCCUAACACAUGCAAGUCGAACGAGACCUUCGGGUCUAGUGGCGCACGGGUGCGUAACGCGUGGGAACCUGCCCUUAGGUUCGGAAUAACUCCCCGAAAGGGGUGCUAAUACCGGAUAAUGUCUUCGGACCAAAGAUUUAUCGCCUUUGGAUGGGCCCGCGUUGGAUUAGCUAGUUGGUAGGGUAAAAGCCUACCAAGGCGACGAUCCAUAGCUGGUCUGAGAGGAUGAUCAGCCACACUGGGACUGAGACACGGCCCAGACUCCUACGGGAGGCAGCAGUGGGGAAUAUUGGACAAUGGGCGAAAGCCUGAUCCAGCAAUGCCGCGUGGGUGAUGAAGGCCUUAGGGUUGUAAAGCUCUUUUACCCGGGAUGAUAAUGACAGUACCGGGAGAAUAAGCUCCGGCUAACUCCGUG